CUUCUACAUGUUCCUCAGCCGCCUGCAGCCGCUGGGCCAACUUCUUCCUUGAAUAUUAUACAUGUUUUCAGAGAGAAGUGAACCAUAGUAUGAAUUAUGAGCUAUUACCACACACGAUGAAGAGUAUUAGAAACUUCACAUUAAUGCUGCCCAGCCACCUUUCAUUCUUUCAACAAAUAUUGAUGAGCCCCUUUUAUGAACCAGACACUGGCGACGCAGCAGUGACCAAGACAAAAAAGAUCUCUGCUUCAUGAAGACCACAAACAAGUGAGAGAGAACCCUCUGCACCUGGCCUGGGUUCGGGUAAUCAGCUGGGCCAGCUUGUCAUCUCGCAUCUCCUCUAGGAGCCCCAGAAGACCAGCUUUGAAAAAGACCUGUGAAUGGAAAGAGUUGCAGAUCACAAGCUUUAAUAAAGUUCAAAGGGACAGGAAUAGCAUCAGAAAUGCAAAACCAACCUUCUCGAUGAGCUCGAUGCAGGCAGCCAGGUCCAUCCCGAAGUCGAUGAACGUCCACUCGAUGCCUUCCUUCUUGUACUCCUCCUGCUCCAGCACGAACAUGUGGUGGUUGAAAAACUGUUGCAGUUUCUCAUUGGUGAAGUUGAUGCACAGCUGCUCCAGGCUGUUGAACUAAAUAAAUAGAUAUGUUUACUUCUC